ACAAAGCUUCAUUCCUAUUAAUUGAAGGCCAUGCCCAAUGGCCAUUCAGUAGGUUCUUUGUGACCAUAAAAAAUAUUUUGGCAACUUCAAGAGGGAAAUUUGAGAAUUAGAAAUAAAAAUUAUAUAUUUUAGGAUUUGAACUACAAUUUUUAUACAAAUUUUAGAAGAUUUGGAGUUAGGAUAAUAAAAUUAUAGCCGUUUAAAGUAAGUAAUUUUUUAAGACAUACUAUUGUUGUUUUGAAGAUAUGAGGGAUUUUAUAAUAGGUUUUGGAGAUUAGAAGAAGUAGCUACAAAGACAAUUUUAAGAUCUACAUCUUUUGUGAUAGAAUUUUUGCUUUUAGAAUUUGUAUGAAGAAGUUAUAGAAUAUUUAAGAUAGUGCAUGUAAUUCAAAGGUAAUAAGUGAGUUGUUUUAUUGAUAGUAAUGGUUGGAGCCAUAUCUUGAGUUUUGGAAUGAAUUUUUAGCUCAAAAUUUCUUAAAGUAUAUAUUUUUAGGAUAAAAAUUUAUAUAUGAAAGUUUUAUGAUAUUUGAAUACUUAAUUUGUGAGAUAUAAAGAAAUUUAUACAUAGAUAUAUAUAUAAAUAAGGAUUUGGAGCUAUUGUUAGGAUUUUAGAGAUAU
rnacentral:lncRNA from 1 species